UCCAUGAAUUUAAGAAUUUGCUAAGAUUGGAAUGAUACAGAAAAGAUUAGCAUGGCCACUGAACAAGGAUAAUACACAAAUUCAUGAAGCAUUAGAUAUUAAA